AUAGUUUUCACUCAGCAGUGCCUAACACUAGUUCUAAUGUUCCAUAAACUAUGAUCAGUUGUCGUCCAAACGUAUCGUCGUGCAGCCAUGCGGGUGUCGUAGGCAGGUAUAAUUACGCCGCGUCCUCCAAAUAUAUAAACACCACUAAUAAUAUUUAUUACGCAUGAAAUAUAUUUACCUAUAUAAUAAACUAAAGUUUUGAUAUAGGUAAUUUUGACCUAUAAAUAGACUUUACAUUAUUAUUAUUUAGACCGGUGGUCCUUUUGGGCUCAAGUCCUAUGUAUUUGAGGCCCCUAUUUACGUCCACGUGUAUACCAAUCGUAGACAUUAAUAUUAAAAUUGUUAAAUAGGUAUUCGUCAAUGAUAUUAAGAGCAAAUAAGUUACACAUAAUAUUAUGCCAGUAUAACCUUUCUCAGCUAAAACUACACUCGAAAUAUAAUUUAAAAAGGUAAUAAAAAUACGAUUAUCGCGAGUUUUCACUAUUAAAAAGGUCAGGUUAAAAUUACACUC